rnacentral:rRNA from 1 species
GGAUCUUCCGCAAUGGACGAAAGUCUGACGGAGCAACGCCGCGUGAGUGAUGAAGGUUUUCGGAUCGUAAAGCUCUGUUGCCAGGGAAGAACGCGUAGGAGAGUAACUACUCUCAAGGUGACGUUACCUGAGAAGAAAGCCACGGCUAACUACGUGCCAGCAGCCGAGGUAAUACGUAGGGGGCCAGCGUUGUCCGGAAUUAUUGGGCGUAAAUCUCGGCAAGGCGGUUCAUUAAGGCUGGUGUUUAAAGCGAGGGCUCAACCCUGGUUCGCACUGGAAACUGUUGAACUUGAGUGCAGAAGAGGAAAGUGGAAUUCCACGUGUAGCGGUGAAAUGCGUAGAGAUGUGGAGGAACACCAGUGGCGAAGGCGACUUUCUGGGCUGUAACUGACGCUGAGGCGCGAAAGCGUGGGGAGCAAACA